rnacentral:rRNA from 1 species
GACGAACGCUGGCGGCGUGCUUAACACAUGCAAGUCGAACGGAAAGGCCCUGCUUUUGUGGGGUGCUCGAGUGGCGAACGGGUGAGUAACACGUGAGUAACCUGCCCUUGACUUUGGGAUAACUUCAGGAAACUGGGGCUAAUACCGGAUAGGAGCUCCUGCUGCAUGGUGGGGGUUGGAAAGUUUCGGCGGUUGGGGAUGGACUCGCGGCUUAUCAGCUUGUUGGUGGGGUAGUGGCUUACCAAGGCUUUGACGGGUAGCCGGCCUGAGAGGGUGACCGGCCACAUGGGGACUGAGAUACGGCCCAGACUGCUACGGGAGGCAGCAGUGGGGAAUAUUGCACAAUGGGCGGAAGCCUGAUGCAGCAACGCUGCGUGCGGGAUGACGGCCUUCGGGUUGUAAACCGCUUUCGCCUGUGACGAAGCGUGAGUGACGGUAAUGGGUAAAGAAGCACCGGCUAACUACGUG